rnacentral:rRNA from 1 species
UACGUAGGGAGCGAGCGUUGUCCGAAGUUACUGGGCGUAAAGCGCGCGUAGGCGGGCUGUUAAGUGAGAAGUGAAAGGCUGGGGCUCAACCCCAUGCAGUGCUUCUCAUACUGGCAGUCUUGAGGGCGGUAGAGAGAAGUGGAAUGGCUGGUGUAGCGGUGAAAUGCGUAGAUAUCAGUCGGAACACCGGUGGCGAAGGCGGCUUCUUGGGCCGUUUCUGACGCUGAGGCGCGAAAGCUAGGGGAGCAAACAGG